AUGGAAACUUGUUUGUAUUUAGGCAAAAAGUUCGUGGAUUAGGAGCUGCAAUUAAUGAUGUGUUGAAUUUAGCGGAUUUGAAAAAAGUUCGAUGGUACGUGUUGAAUAAUUGUGAUGAAGUUCGACCAUAUAUGCUGCAAUACAUGGAUGAACUUGAAGGACAAGGUUUGACAAAUAUGCAAGAGAGGCUAGAAUCAGAGUUCCAUACAUGGCUUCUAAAAUAUGUCACAAAGCUGCAAGUUGAAGGGACAAUGGAUGCUUCCAAUCAACUUAUGAACUUAGCUCGAGGUCCUGAUUACCGAGUGACACGCUACAAUGGUUGUAUCAUCAAC